rnacentral:rRNA from 1 species
AGUGAACGCUGGCGGUAGGCCUAACACAUGCAAGUCGAACGGCAGCACAGUAAGAGCUUGCUCUUACGGGUGGCGAGUGGCGGACGGGUGAGGAAUACAUCGGAAUCUACUUUUUCGUGGGGGAUAACGUAGGGAAACUUACGCUAAUACAGCAUACGACCUACGGGUGAAAGCAGGGGAUCUUCGUACAUAGCGCGAAUGAAUGAGCCGAUGUGGGAUUCCCUAGUGGGCGGGGUAAAGGCCCACCAAGGCGACGAUCCGUGGCUGGCCAGAGAGGAUGUUCGGCCACACUGGAACUGAGCCACGGUCCGGACUCCUACGGGAGGCGCCAGUGGGGAAUAUUGGACAAUGGGCGCAAGCCCGAUCCAGCCCUCCCGCGUGGGUGAAGAAGGCCUUCGGGUUGUAAAGCCCUUUUGUUGGGAAAGAAAAGCAGCAGGUUAAUACCCCGCUGUUCUGACGGUACCCAAAGAAUAAGCACCGGCUAACUUCGUG